rnacentral:rRNA from 1 species
GAUGAACGCUGGCGGCGUGCUUAACACAUGCAAGUCGAACGAAGCUGUUAUUUGGAGACCUUCGGGUGGAAGAAUGACAGACUGAGUGGCGGACGGGUGAGUAACGCGUGGGUAACCUACCUUGCACAGGGGGACAACAGUUGGAAACGACUGCUAAUACCGCAUAAGACCACAGUACCGCAUGGUACAGGGGUAAAAACUGAGGUGGUGCAAGAUGGACCCGCGUCUGAUUAGCUAGUUGGUGGGGUAAAGGCCUACCAAGGCGACGAUCAGUAGCCGACCUGAGAGGGUGAUCGGCCACAUUGGGACCGAGACACGGCCCAAACUCCUACGGGAGGCAGCAGUGGGGAAUCUUGCACAAUGGGCGAAAGCCUGAUGCAGCAACGCCGCGUGCGGGAAGAAGGCCCUAGGGUUGUAAACCGCUUUCAGUAGGGAAGAAAAUGACGGUACCUACAGAAGAAGGUGCGGCCAACUACGUGCCAGCAGCCGCGGUGACACGUAGGCACCAAGCGUUAUCCGGAUUUAUUGGGCGUAAAGAGCUCGUAGGCGGUUCGGUAAGUCGCGUGUGAAAACUCUGGGCUCAACCCAGAGACGCCACGCGAUACUGCUGUGACUAGAGUGCGGUAGGGGAGCGGGGAAUUCAUGGUGUAGCGGUGAAAUGCGCAGAUAUCAUGAGGAACACCAGCGGCGAAGGCGCCGCUCUGGGCCGUAACUGACGCUGAGGAGCGAAAGCAUGGGUAGCAAACAGGAUUAGAUACCCUGGUAGUCCAUGCCGUAAACGUUGGGCACUAGGUGUGGGUCUCAACCAACGAGAUCCGCGCCGUCGCUAACGCAUUAAGUGCCCCGCCUGGGGAGUACGGUCGCAAGACUAAAACUCAAAGGAAUUGACGGGGGCCCGCACAAGCAGCGGAGCGUGUUGCUUAAUUCGAUGCAACGCGAAGAACCUUACCUGGGUUUGACAUGUACCGAAAAGCUCUAGAGAUAGGGUGUCCUUCGGGGCGGUACACAGGUGGUGCAUGGCUGUCGUCAGCUCGUGUCGUGAGAUGUUGGGUUAAGUCCCGCAACGAGCGCAACCCUUAUCCUAUGUUGCCAGCACGUAAUGGUGGGGACUCGUAGGAGACUGCCGGGGUCAACUCGGAGGAAGGUGGGGAUGACGUCAAGUCAUCAUGCCCCUUAUGCCCAGGGCUGCAAACACGCUACAAUGGCCGGUACAGAGGGCUGCAAUCCCGCGAGGGUGAGCGAAUCCCACAAAGCCGGUCUCAGUUCGGAUUGGAGUCUGCAACUCGACUCCAUGAAGCCGGAGUUGCUAGUAAUCCUGGAUCAGCACGCCAGGGUGAAUACGUUCCCGGGCCU